rnacentral:misc_RNA from 1 species
AGUUGCUCGAAUCAAGUACAGGUCAUGCUGUCAUUUGUGACAAUUUGGAAAAGGUUUAUCCAGGGAAAGAUGGAAACCCUGAGAAAUUUGCAGUGAGAGGAUUGUCACUUGCUUUGCCUCAAGGGGAAUGUUUUGGUAUGCUAGGUCCCAAUGGUGCUGGCAAAACUACUUUUAUUAACAUGAUGAUUGGGCUCAUAAAACCAAGCUCCG